GAUGAACGCUGGCGGCGUGCCUAAUACAUGCAAGUCGAGCGAACGGACGAGAAGCUUGCUUCUCUGAUGUUAGCGGCGGACGGGUGAGUAACACGUGGAUAACCUACCUAUAAGACUGGGAUAACUUCGGGAAACCGUAGCUAAUACCGGAUAAUAUUUUGAACCGCAUGGUUCAAAAGUGAAAGACGGUCUUGCUGUCACUUAUAGAUGGAUCCGCGCUGCAUUAGCUAGUUGGUAAGGUAACGGCUUACCAAGGCAACGAUGCAUAGCCGACCUGAGAGGGUGAUCGGCCACACUGGAACUGAGACACGGUCCAGACUCCUACGGGAGGCAGCAGUAGGGAAUUUUCCGCAAAGGGCGAAAGCCUGACGGAGCAACGCCGCGUGAGUGAUGAAGGUCUUCGGAUCGUAAAACUCUGUUAUUAGGGAAGAACAUAUGUGUAAGUAACUGUGCACAUCUUGACGGUACCUAAUCAGAAAGCCACGGCUAACUACGUG
rnacentral:rRNA from 1 species